UGGGGGAUAUUGCACAAUGGGGGGAACCCUGAUGCAGCGACGCCGCGUGGGCGAGGGAGCGCCUCGGCGCGUAAAGCCCUUUCGGCGGGGGAGAACGAUGACGGUACCCGACGAAGAAGCACCGGCUAAAUACGUGCCAGCAGCCGCGGUAAUACGUAUGGUGCGAGCGUUGUCCGGAUUUACUGGGCGUGAAGGGGGCGCAGGCGGCGCGCCAAGCCCGAUGUGAAAGCCCGGGGCUCAACCCCGGGACUGCAUUGGGAACUGGCGGGCUGGAGUGCCGGAGGGGCAGGCGGAAUUCCUGGUGUAGCGGUGAAAUGCGUAGAUAUCAGGAGGAACACCGGUGGCGAAGGCGGCCUGCUGGACGGAUACUGACGCUGAGGCCCGAAAGCGUGGGGAGCGAACAGG
rnacentral:rRNA from 1 species